rnacentral:rRNA from 1 species
GACGAACGCUGGCGGCGUGCUUAACACAUGCAAGUCGAACGGAAAGGCCCUGCUUUUGUGGGGUGCUCGAGUGGCGAACGGGUGAGUAACACGUGAGUAACCUGCCCUUGACUUUGGGAUAACUUCAGGAAACUGGGGCUAAUACCGGAUAGGAGCUCCUGCUGCAUGGUGGGGGUUGGAAAGUUUCGGCGGUUGGGGAUGGACUCGCGGCUUAUCAGCUUGUUGGUGGGGUAGUGGCUUACCAAGGCUUUGACGGGUAGCCGGCCUGAGAGGGUGACCGGCCACAUUGGGACUGAGAUACGGCCCAGACUCCUACGGGAGGCAGCAGUGGGGAAUAUUGCACAAUGGGCGGAAGCCUGAUGCAGCAACGCCGCGUGCGGGAUGACGGCCUUCGGGUUGUAAACCGCUUUCGCCUGUGACGAAGCGUGAGUGACGGUAAUGGGUAAAGAAGCACCGGCUAACUACGUGCCAGCAGCCGCGGUGAUACGUAGGGUGCGAGCGUUGUCCGGAUUUAUUGGGCGUAAAGGGUUCGUAGGUGGUUGAUCGCGUCGGAAGUGUAAUCUUGGGGCUUAACCCUGAGCGUGCUUUCGAUACGGGUUGACUUGAGGAAGGUAGGGGAGAAUGGAAUUCCUGGUGGAGCGGUGGAAUGCGCAGAUAUCAGGAGGAACACCAGUGGCGAAGGCGGUUCUCUGGGCCUUUCCUGACGCUGAGGAGCGAAAGCGUGGGGAGCGAACAGGCUUAGAUACCCUGGUAGUCCACGCUGUAAACGGUGGGUACUAGGUGUGGGGUCCAUUCCACGGGUUCCGUGCCGUAGCUAACGCUUUAAGUACCCCGCCUGGGGAGUACGGCCGCAAGGCUAAAACUCAAAGGAAUUGACGGGGCCCCGCACAAGCGGCGGAGCAUGCGGAUUAAUUCGAUGCAACGCGUAGAACCUUACCUGGGUUUGACAUGGAUCGGGAGCGCUCAGAGAUGGGUGUGCCUCUUUUGGGGUCGGUUCACAGGUGGUGCAUGGCUGUCGUCAGCUCGUGUCGUGAGAUGUUGGGUUAAGUCCCGCAACGAGCGCAACCCUUGUUCACUGUUGCCAGCACGUUAUGGUGGGGACUCAGUGGAGACCGCCGGGGUCAACUCGGAGGAAGGUGGGGAUGACGUCAAGUCAUCAUGCCCCUUAUGUCCAGGGCUUCACGCAUGCUACAAUGGCUGGUACAGAGAGUGGCGAGCCUGUGAGGGUGAGCGAAUCUCGGAAAGCCGGUCUCAGUUCGGAUUGGGGUCUGCAACUCGACCUCAUGAAGUCGGAGUCGCUAGUAAUCGCAGAUCAGCAACGCUGCGGUGAAUACGUUCCCGGG